ACACGACUACAUUAGAUACCCGCGUAGUCCCAGCCCUAAACGAUGCGCGUUAGGUGUAUCGGUGACCACGAGUCACCGAGGUGCCGAAGGGAAACCGUGAAACGUGCCGCCUGGGAAGUACGGUCGCAAGGCUGAAACUUAAGGGAAUUGGCGGGGAGCACCACAACGGGUGGAGCCUGCGGUUUAAUUGGACUCAACGCCGGGAAGCUCACCGGAUAAGACAGCGGAAUGAUUGCCGGGCUGAAGACCCUGCAUGACCAGCUG
rnacentral:rRNA from 1 species